AUUAAACGCUGGCGGCAUGCCUUACACAUGCAAGUCGAACGGCAGCACGGGGGCAACCCUGGUGGCGAGUGGCGGACGGGUGAGUAAAGCAUCGGAACGUACCCUGGAGUGGGGGGAUAACGCCGCGAAAGCGGCGCUAAUACCGCAUAUGCUCUGAGGAGGAAAGUGGGGGACCGCAAGGCCUCACGCUCUGGGAGCGGCCGAUGUCCGAUUAGCUAGUUGGUGGGGUAAAGGCUUACCAAGGCGACGAUCGGUAGCUGGUCUGAGAGGAUGAUCAGCCACACUGGGACUGAGACACGGCCCAGACUCCUACGGGAGGCAGCAGUGGGGAAUUUUGGACAAUGGGGGCAACCCUGAUCCAGCCAUGCCGCGUGAGUGAAGAAGGCCUUCGGUUGUAAG
rnacentral:rRNA from 1 species